UUGAAGUGCAUAGUGAUAAUAAAUUUAAAGUUCUCAAUAUUCAUCGAUUCUUCAAUGAACCUGACGUGGAACAUUAUAAAAAUGCUGAAAAAAAACAUACUUAGAGUAUAUCAAUCAACAAGCUAAUGUAGAACAUUCUAGGAUGAAAAAUGGAGCAAGUGGAACAACUUUCAAUAUUCUAGCUGGUAUAGCUGAAACUGUGCUUAGCUAGGAUACAACAAUUGUUAUAUUUCUUGGGGUUUAUACAUCGUGAUAUGGCAGAUUUGCGACGUAACCCUACUGAUUUUUGAAAGUAAAUCGCAGAGAUUGACUUUCAUUCAAAAGUGUGUGUAACUAACAAUAAGUGCAAAUUUUCGGUAUUUUUUAAUGAUGCCAAGCAACUGAUGCGAAGUAGCAAAAUCUGCAACAGGUGAUGCAAAUUGCAACACCAAUACAAGCUAGUGAGUACAAUUACUUAUUUAUUAUUUAAAUAUAUAAUAUAUAUGAUUUUAUAUGCUACACAACUACA